GAUGAACGCUGGCGGCGUGCCUAAUACAUGCAAGUCGAGCGGAGCGGGGACGGGGGAGUAACACGUGGGGGAACUCCUCUAAGAAGGGGGUAACUUCGGGGAACCGGAGCUAAUACGGAUACUUAAAGAUGGAGCCACUUUGCAUUAGCUAGUUGGUAAGGUAACGGCUUACCAAGGCGACGAUGCAUAGCCGACCUGAGAGGGUGAUCGGCCACACUGGAACUGAGACACGGUCCAGACUCCUACGGGAGGCAGCAGUAGGGAAUCUUCCGCAAUGGGCGAAAGCCUGACGGAGCAACGCCGCGUGAGUGAUGAAGGUCUUCGGAUCGUAAAACUCUUUUAGUAGGGAAGCGGUACCUAAUCAGAAAGCCCCGGCUAACUCCGUGCCAGCAGCCGCGGUAAUAC
rnacentral:rRNA from 1 species